rnacentral:rRNA from 1 species
AGAUUGAACGCUGGCGGCAUGCUUUACACAUGCAAGUCGAACGGCAGCACGGGGGGCAACCCUGGUGGCGAGUGGCGAACGGGUGAGUAAGGCAUCGGAAUCUGCCCUGAUGUGGGGGAUAACGUAGGGAAACUUACGCUAAUACCGCAUACGACCGAGAGGUGAAAGCGGGGGACCGAAAGGCCUCGCGCAGCAGGAUGAGCCGAUGUCCGAUUAGCUAGUUGGUGGGGUAACGGCCUACCAAGGCUACGACGGGUCGCUGGUCUGAGAGGACGACCAGCCACACUGGCACUGAGAUACGGGCCAGACUCCUACGGGCGGCAGC